UUAAUUGAAGAGUUUGAUCAUGGCUCAGAUUGAACGCUGGCGGCAGGCCUAACACAUGCAAGUCGAGCGGUAACAGAAAGAAAGCUUGCUUUCUUUGCUGACGAGCGGCGGA
rnacentral:rRNA from 1 species